GCGGAUGCUAACGCAAUGU
rnacentral:snRNA from 1 species